rnacentral:rRNA from 1 species
UUUGCCUACGGGGGGCAGCAGUGAGGAAUAUUGCGCAAUGGAGGAAACUCUGACGCAGUGACGCCGCGUAUAGGAAGAAGGUUUUCGGAUUGUAAACUAUUGUCGUUAGGGAAGAUAAAAGACUGUACCUAAGGAGGAAGCCCCGGCUAACUAUGUGCCAGCAGCCGCGGUAAUACGUAGGGGGCAAGCGUUAUCCGGAUUUACUGGGUGUAAAGGGAGCGUAGACGGAGGAGCAAGUCUGAUGUGAAAAUCCGGGGCCCAACCCCGGAACUGCAUUGGAAACUGUUUAUCUAGAGUGUCGGAGG